rnacentral:rRNA from 1 species
UACGAAGGGGGCUAGCGUUGCUCGGAAUCACUGGGCGUAAAGCGCACGUAGGCGGCUUACUAAGUCAGGGGUGAAAUCCUGGAGCUCAACUCCAGAACUGCCUUUGAUACUCGUGAGCUUGAGUCCGGAAGAGGUGAGUGGAACUGCGAGUGUAGAGGUGAAAUUCGUAGAUAUUCGCAAGAACACCAGUGGAGAAGGCGGCUCACUGGUCCGGUACUGACGCUGAGGUGCGAAAGCGUGGGGAGCAAACAGG